AUACGGAGGAUGCGAGCGUUAUCCGGAUUUAUUAGGUUUAAAGGGUGUGUAGGCGGUAUUUUAAGUCAGUGGUGAAAUCUUUCAGCUUAACUGAGAAACUGCCAUUGAUACUAGAAUACUUGAGUAUAGUUGAGGUAGGCGGAAUAUGUAAUGUAGCGGUGAAAUGCAUAGAUAUUACAUAGAACACCGAUUGCGAAGGCAGCUUACUAAACUAUUACUGACGCUGAUGCACGAAAGCGUGGGGAGCGAACAGGAUUAGAAACCCUAGUAGUCC
rnacentral:rRNA from 1 species